rnacentral:precursor_RNA from 14 species
GCAGUUUCUGAAAGAAUGGAAUAUUCUGGGAGUUGUAGUCUUUCAAACAGAGCUUUGCAAGUACAUACCUGUAUUGGAACACUACAGCUCCCUGAACUUCCUAGUGUCACUGCCUAUGAAA